rnacentral:rRNA from 1 species
UACGUAGGGGGCGAGCGUUAUCCGGAUUUUCUGGGUGUAAAGGGAGCGUAGACGGCUGGUCAAGUCUGAAGUGAAAGCCCGGGGCUUAACCCCGGAACGGCUUUGGAAACUGAGCAGCUAGAGUGCUGGAGAGGUAAGCGGAAUUCCUAGUGUAGCGGUGAAAUGCGUAGAUAUUAGGAGGAACACCAGUGGCGAAGGCGGCUUACUGGACAGUAACUGACGUUGAGGCUCGAAAGCGUGGGGAGCAAACA